rnacentral:SRP_RNA from 1 species
ACUUCAGGCAGUGGUGGGUGCACACAGUCCAGUGGGAGGAUUUUUGAGCCCAGGACUUCUGGGUUGUGGUUCACUGUGCCCAUCAGGUGUCCACACUAAGUUCCACAUCAACAUGGUGACCUCCUGGGAGUGAGGGAUCAUCCAGUUGUCUAAGGAGGAGUAAGACAGCCUAGGUCAGAAAUGGAGCAGGUCGAAACUUCCAUACUGAUCAGUAGAAGAACUGUAUCUGAAUAACCACACUGCAGCCUGGGCAACAUAGCGAGACAGUCUCUU